UAUAUUAUAUCAAGCAGAACUGACUAAGGAUGUAUGGCUAUUUGCAAGUAGUAACUGACUUCACUCAUGUUCCAUUCUAGACUGUUCAUCAGUGAUAAUGAUGGUGUAAUUUUGUAAAGUGAAAGAAUCAUACAAUAUAAUUUAACUAUAAGGAUAAUAAAAGGUGUGAGUGUUGCCACUGUGGGAGGUUGAUCGUCCAUCAGUCAAGGAAGGUUACAAUAAACCAAUAAAAGCAACUGAGAAAACUUACCUCGUUUUUAACCUAUGACUAUUAUAACUUGGAGUCGACUCACAGAAGCAUUGGUAGAACUUAAGAAGACAUUUAAUUCAAAAAGAAAAUAAUAAACUAAAACUGAUAAUUCAUAUGUUAUACAAAACCAACAAUGCCAAUCAGCUGCAGCAAAUCACAGAAAUGCACAGAUGUCGUUAUAAUUGGGAACGGCCCAUCAGGUAUCUGCCUAUCCUACAUGUUGUCUGGUUACCGGCCCUACUACACAGGACAGCCCCACCCCAAUCCCAUGCUGAAUGCACGACUGCAGGAGGUGGAUAGAAAUAUUUCACUGGUGGAGCAGGACCUAGAAUUCCUCAGCGAGGGUUUGGAGGGCCGGUCCAGCAAUCCCGUGGCAGUCCUGUUUGACGCUCUCUCGCACCCAGACGCAGAUCAAGGGGCAGAUAACCCGUCUCUGCUGCGCUGGAGAUACGAGGAAAAUCACAUGGUUGAGCACAUGGUGUUGGGAAAAUCUAAACCGGGAGGAUCUUGGCAGGCAAUGGAGGGCUCCAUGCAAACCCUGAGUCUCAGCAGUUGGAUGGAGUUGCCAAACCUGCCCUUCCAGAAGUGGCUCAAAUCCAAUCAUAGCUCUGACAGAAGAAAAGAAACCAAUGGAGAUCGGGCCACUAUAUCUGAUGUCUGUAACUACUACACACACUUUGUGAACAAGAUGAACAUUCAGAAUAAUUUCUACAACGGUUAUGUUGUCACAUCCGUGAAAAAAGUGCAUACUCUCAAGAAGACAAGUGGAAAAGAAGACAAAAAAUGUUGUUGUGCAGAAAUAAAUGGUUUUCCCUAUUUCUAUGAAGUCAAGGGUUAUUAUACUUCCCCACACAGUAACGACAUUGGGGCCACCAAAUACGAAACUUGCGAGGAAUUCAGCAUAUGUUCCAAGUAUGUUGUUCUGGCAACAGGAACAUUUGAUGUCCCAAAUACUCUCAGCGUCCCUGGAGAGACUUUAGACUUUGUUAGUCAUUCGCUUCAUGAAUUUGAAUCUGUGAUAAAUCAAAGAGAUAAUUUAGCCAGCAAUGAACCUGUUAUGGUUGUUGGGGCUGGUUUGAGUGCUGCUGAUGCUAUUCUCAUAUCUAUACAGAACCAGGUGCCUAUUUAUCAUGCAUUUCGACGAGGCGCAAACGAUCCAAGCCUCAUUUUACGAAAACUACCAAAAAACAUGUAUCCCGAAUAUCAUAAAGUCCACAUGUUGAUGAAAGGAAGUGAAAAAAGUCCAUUCUAUAAAUCCUUCGAGAAACAAGGUGUUGUGCAUAUAGAACCUGACAAGACUGUUAUAUUAAAAGAGCACAAGAAAAGAACAGACGAAACAAUGUCGGUUAAAGUGUCUCAUGUCGCUGUGUUCAUUGGUUCGAGACCAGAUCUGAGUUUUCUACCUCAUGAGGGACGGGACUUGGGGGUUGUGAAAAAGUAUCCAAUAGAAAGCAAGCACAAUCCUAUCGACAUUGACCCCUAUUCCUACCAGUCCAUGAAGGAGCUGGGGCUGUUUACAAUGGGACCCCUUAGUGAUGAUGUGCAUAUGACAUACAUGAUCCGUAGAUGGGUCUGCAAUCCGUAGAUGGGUCUGCAAUCCGUAGAUGGGUCUGCAAUCCGUAGAUGGGUCUGCAAUCCGUAGAUGGGUCUGCAAUCCGUAGAUGGGUCUGCAAUCCGUAGAUGGGUCUGCAAUCCGUAGAUGGGUCUGCAAUCCGUAGAUGGGUCUGCAAUCCGUAGAUGGGUCUGCAAUCUGUAGAUACACCUGUAGGUCUGCAAUCCGUAGAUGGGUCUGCAAUCCGUAGAUGGGUCUGCAAUCCGUUGAUGGUCUGCAAUCCGUAGAUGGGUCUGCAAUCCGCGUAGAUGGGUCUGCAAUCCGUAGAUGGGUCUGCAAUCUGUAGAUGGGUCUGCAAUCCGUAGAUGGGUCUGCACCUAUACAGCUUGAACUGAUUUGUUUAAGCUUUUAAUGACAACAAUCACAUAUUCAGCAAAUAUGCACAUAUUUGAUGUACAUUUAUUUUUACCAGAAUAAUAAAGCCAGUUAAAAAUUCAUGAGGCAUAUUGUCUGUUAAAACUAUCUAGAUGAUGUAUAGUUUUUCCGCCUAUUCACAUGUACAGGAGGUCUCAUAAUGGGGUUAUUUUCUAUUCUAAUCAGAGUCAUAUCAUUUUGCAGCUUAGCAUUUUGUUAUUCAUAUUUACCGGGUAUUUUCAAUAAUGGUCGCACUUACAUAACAAGCUGAAAUACUUAUGUUAUUCAACGUUGUUUUAGUAUCAUUUGAAAUCAUGUUUUAAUUGAAAUAUUUUAUGCAUCAACGCUCACGUGUUAUUUAUUUUUAUGUUUAUUUGUAUGCUCGAGUAUAAAAUAUGUCUUUAAUGAUGGUUAAUUAUAAUUAACAAUGAUUAUUUAAGUAUUUUAAUAUCAAUAAAGACUUGUUGUUCUUAAAACUG